rnacentral:rRNA from 1 species
AGAGUUUGAUCCUGGCUCAGGAUGAACGUCGGCGGUGUGCCUAAUACAUGCAAGUCGUACGCACUGGCCCAACUGAUUGAUGGUGCUUGCACCUGAUUGACGAUGGAUCACCAGUGAGUGGCGGACGGGUGAGUAACACGUAGGUAACCUGCCUCGGAGCGGGGGAUAACAUUUGGAAACAGAUGCUAAUACCGCAUAACAACAAAAGCCACAUGGCUUUUGUUUGAAAGAUGGCUUUGGCUAUCACUCUGGGAUGGACCUGCGGUGCAUUAGCUAGUUGGUAAGGUAACGGCUUACCAAGGCAAUGAUGCAUAGCCGAGUUGAGAGACUGAUCGGCCACAAUGGAACUGAGACACGGUCCAUACUCCUACGGGAGGCAGCAGUAGGGAAUCUUCCACAAUGGGCGCAAGCCUGAUGGAGCAACACCGCGUGAGUGAGGAAGGGUUUCGGCUCGUAAAGCUCUGUUGUUGGAGAAGAACGUGCGUGAGAGUAACUGUUCACGCAGUGACGGUAUCCAACCAGAAAGUCACGGCUAACUACGUGCCAGCAGCCGCGGUAAUACGUAGGUGGCAAGCGUUAUCCGGAUUUAUUGGGCGUAAAGCGAGCGCAGGCGGUUGCUUAGGUCUGAUGUGAAAGCCUUCGGCUUAACCGAAGAAGUGCAUCGGAAACCGGGCGACUUGAGUGCAGAAGAGGACAGUGGAACUCCAUGUGUAGCGGUGGAAUGCGUAGAUAUAUGGAAGAACACCAGUGGCGAAGGCGGCUGUCUGGUCUGCAACUGACGCUGAGGCUCGAAAGCAUGGGUAGCGAACAGGAUUAGAUACCCUGGUAGUCCAUGCCGUAAACGAUGAGUGCUAAGUGGUUGGGAGGGUUUCCGCCCUU